rnacentral:misc_RNA from 1 species
CAAAGAAUGUUUAAAGAAAUGCUUCACAAAUAGCGCAAUCAGAAACCACUUCAAAUUCAAGACCGUCAGAUCAACCAAAAAAAGAUAUUAUCUGAAGUGUUAUGAUGACAAUUGCCGUUGGUUCGUGCAUUCUUCACGGAUCAGUGAUUCUGCAUUAUUCAAGAUUUGUAAGUAUGUGAAAAACCAUACUUGCUCUGCUGAUGUGUUUAAACCUGACCAACAACGGCACGCAACAUCAAGGGUCAUAUCUGAUUACAUCCGUGAGCUUCUACCUGAAUAUGAAACAGAAAUGACACCAAAUUUUGUGAAGGAAGAAAUGAGAAAGAGAUAUGGACUGAACAUUAGUUACCACAAAGCAUGGCGUUCAAUACAACUAGCUUUUGGUGUGAAAAAUGGAAGUCUUGAACAGCACAACGAAUUGCUUCUGUCUGAACCAGAACAGAACAAUGAAUUACUUCUGUAUGAACCAGAACAGAACAAUGAAUUACUUCUGUA